rnacentral:rRNA from 1 species
GGCGAACGGGUGAGGAAUACAUCGGAACGUGCCCGAGAGUGGGGGAUAACGCCGCGAAAGCGGCGCUAAUACCGCAUAUUCUCCGAGGAGGAAAGUGGGGGACCGCAAGGCCUCACGCUCACGGAGCGGCCGAUGUCGGAUUAGCUAGUUGGUGGGGUAAAGGCUUACCAAGGCGACGAUCCGUAGCUGGUCUGAGAGGAUGAUCAGCCACACUGGGACUGAGACACGGCCCAGACUCCUACGGGAGGCAGCAGUGGGGAAUUUUGGACAAUGGGGGCAACCCUGAUCCAGCCAUGCCGCGUGCGGGAAGAAGGCCAUCGGGUUGUAAACCGCUUUUAGUCGGGAAGAAAAGGCGUCGUCCAAUACACGGCGUUCUUGACGGUACCGGCGGAAUAAGCACCGGCUAACUACGUGCCAGCAGCCGCGGUAAUACGUAGGGUGCGAGCGUUAAUCGGAAUUACUGGGCGUAAAGCGUGCGCAGGCGGUUCGUUAAGUCAGAUGUGAAAGCCCCGGGCUCAACCUGGGAACUGCAUUUGAAACUGGCGGGCUUGAGUGCGGCAGAGGGGGGUGGAAUUCC